rnacentral:rRNA from 1 species
UACAGAGGUCUCAAGCGUUGUUCGGAUUCAUUGGGCGUAAAGGGUGUGUAGGUGGCGCCGUAAGUGGGGUGUGAAAUCUCGGGGCUUAACUCCGAAACUGCAUUCCAUACUGCGGUGCUUGAGGACUGGAGAGGAGACUGGAAUUCAUGGUGUAGCAGUGAAAUGCGUAGAGAUCAUGAGGAAGACCAGUGGCGAAGGCGGGUCUCUGGACAGUUCCUGACACUGAGACACGAAGGCCAGGGGAGCGAACGGG